CCUCAGAGUGACUAGCUACUGAAUCUUUGAUGUGUCAUCAAAGAUAAUGUAAAGGAAAAUAAUGAUAUUACUUUACUAUUAGUGUCGUCCAAAUACUCGUGCCAGAAGACUCGGUAAGGCGAGAGACGCAAACGUUAUUCGUCUUGAUCAGGCGUAAAGGGUGUGUAGGCUGCUUUAAAAAUUUAUAUUAAGUUUACUAAUUUAAGCUAAAGUUAACUUAGCUUAUGGCUCACAUUUAUAGUUUAAGUUAGAUUAUAUUUGCAUAAGUAAUUUAUAAUAGUUAAGAAAUACUUACAUUAUCAAUAUAAAUCAAUUAAAGCUAGAAUCUAAAGGAGGUUAAAACAAUACUUAAGGUAGGAGUACUAACCGUAAAUAUUAAGUAGAGUUCUAAUGGCGAAGGCAUUUAUCCAAUAAAGAUUGACGCUGAGAAACGAAAGUGAGGGCAGAAAAAAGGAUUAGAGACCCUUGUAUUCCUCACUGUCAACGAUGAAUGGUAGUUACUAGUUAGAAAUUAGCUAGGGACGAUGUUAACACGAAAACCAUUCCGCCUUGUGAGUACAACUGCAAAGUUGAAAACAAAAAAAUUAGUCGGUUUCGGAGCAAACGAAGUGAAGCAUGUUAUUUAAC
rnacentral:rRNA from 1 species